UUGGAACCAAAACUCAGGACGUCCCAGGAGAGGCUAGAUUAGGAAUUCUUUGAUUUGGGAUCACGAAAAUGAAGUAUCCAUAUUUUAACAGAAUGAUUAGUAGCAGAGGAAUCAUCUAAGAAAACUGAGAAGGCUCUGCCAGAGUGAUGGGAAGAAAACUAGAUGAGAAAGCACUGUUCUGGAAGACAUGCUCCCAUGAACCAUGGAGAGAAGAGGAGAGGGAAAAGUUAUUUGUGAUGUCAUUUGCCUGUGUCAUGGCCUGCCUUCCCUAGAUAUUGUCCUAAUGUGAGCAUCACACCUAAGGUACUGAAGUAGAGUGCUGGCUGUUCCUUACGGACAUCUCUGAUGACCUCCAUCUGUUUUUGAUACAAGUCAGUCUUUUCCUGGACUUUUGGUAUCUUCUGGACAAUGUCAGUCAUUUGGCUGAAAAGUUCAACUUGAGCAGUUUUAACAUCUUGGAGCACUACUGGAAGAUUCAUUUUUCCGUGAUAACUAACAUCAUCUUGAUUACAAUCAUCAGAUGUCACAGUGGGAUAUCCAGUUGAAUCUUGGUGCCGAAUCUUACAUUUGUGGUAAACAUUUUUAAGAGACUGUCUGACCUUGGAGAGAUUUGAAGUCCACAUCUGCCUAGCAGCAGCUUUUACCCUUUUGGUGUGAAGCGUGUACAUCUUUCAUGGUGAAACAAGAGGCAAGGUGUUGGAAAACAUAGAAUCACAGGAAGAAAUAAUGUACAAAUGAAAUGGUCCUUCUCUUACUAUUUGUGGGAUGCCUUUCCUGAUAACAUCUUAGAACGCUCUGGAAAUCAUCAGCCACAGCAAUAGACACUCUUAGGUGAUUAGCUUCUUACAGAGCAGCCCAACCAGAGAGCUCUGUGAAAUAAUAGUCAACUGCAUGGAAUCCUUCAUAUGGUAAUCAUUGACUUGCUGCUGAUGUCACAAUGACUGCUGGCUUAGAACAAACACAUUUAACUACAGCAGUUCUCAAAAGUUUUGGUCAUAGGGCUCUUUUGAAUCAUAGAAAUUGUUGAGCAGCCUGAGGAACACAGAAAAACACCUGUUUCUACAAAAAAAUUUAAAAAUUAGCCAGCCAUGGUGGUGCGUGCCUGUAGUCUCAGCUACUUGGGAGGCUGAGGUGGGAGGAUCACUUGAGCACAGUGGGUGGAGACUGUAGUAUGCCAUGAUGGUACCACUGCACUCCAGCCUGGGCGACA
rnacentral:lncRNA from 1 species